AGUUUGAUCCUGGCUCAGGAUGAACGCUAGCUACAGGCUUAACACAUGCAAGUCGAGGGGCAGCAUCAUCAAAGCUUGCUUUGAUGGAUGGCGACCGGCGCACGGGUGAGUAACACGUAUCCAACCUGCCGACAACACUGGGAUAGCCUUUCGAAAGAAAGAUUAAUACCGGAUGGCAUAGUUUUCCCGCAUGGGAUAAUUAUUAAAGAAUUUCGGUUGUCGAUGGGGAUGCGUUCCAUUAGGCAGUUGGCGGGGUAACGGCCCACCAAACCAACGAUGGAUAGGGGUUCUGAGAGGAAGGUCCCCCACAUUGGAACUGAGACACGGUCCAAACUCCUACGGGAGGCAGCAGUGAGGAAUAUUGGUCAAUGGACGAGAGUCUGAACCAGCCAAGUAGCGUGAAGGAUGACUGCCCUAUGGGUUGUAAACUUCUUUUAUACGGGAAUAAAGUUAGCCACGUGUGGCUUUUUGUAUGUACCGUAUGAAUAAGGAUCGACUAACUCCGUGCCAGCAGCCGCGGUAAUACGGAGGAUCCGAGCGUUAUCCGGAUUUAUUGGGUUUAAAGGGAGCGUAGGCGGGUUGUUAAGUCAGUUGUGAAAGUUUGCGGCUCAACCGUAAAAUUGCAGUUGAUACUGGCGACCUUGAGUGCAACAGAGGUAGGCGGAAUUCGUGGUGUAGCGGUGAAAUGCUUAGAUAUCACGAAGAACUCCGAUUGCGAAGGCAGCUUACUGGAUUGUAACUGACGCUGAUGCUCGAAAGUGUGGGUAUCAAACAGGAUUAGAUACCCUGGUAGUCCACACAGUAAACGAUGAAUACUCGCUGUUGGCGAUAUACAGUCAGCGGCCAAGCGAAAGCAUUAAGUAUUCCACCUGGGGAGUACGCCGGCAACGGUGAAACUCAAAGGAAUUGACGGGGGCCCGCACAAGCGGAGGAACAUGUGGUUUAAUUCGAUGAUACGCGAGGAACCUUACCCGGGCUUAAAUUGCAACUGACUGAACCGGAAACGGUUCUUUCUUCGGACAGUUGUGAAGGUGCUGCAUGGUUGUCGUCAGCUCGUGCCGUGAGGUGUCGGCUUAAGUGCCAUAACGAGCGCAACCCUUAUCGAUAGUUACUAGCAGGUCAUGCUGAGGACUCUAUUGAGACUGCCGUCGUAAGAUGUGAGGAAGGUGG
rnacentral:rRNA from 1 species